AGAGUUUGAUCAUGGCUCAGAUUGAACGCUGGCGGCAUGCUUUACACAUGCAAGUCGAACGGUAACGCGGGGGCAACCCUGGCGACGAGUGGCGAACGGGUGAGUAAUACAUCGGAACAUGUCCUGGAGUGGGGGAUAGCUCGGCGAAAGCCGGAUUAAUACCGCAUACGCUCUGAGGAGGAAAGCGGGGGAUCCGCAAGGACCUCGCGCUGCAGGAGUGGCCGAUGUCGGAUUAGCUAGUUGGUGAGGUAAAGGCUCACCAAGGCGACGAUCCGUAGCUGGUCUGAGAGGAUGAUCAGCCACACUGGGACUGAGACACGGCCCAGACUCCUACGGGAGGCAGCAGUGGGGAAUUUUGGACAAUGGGGGCAACCCUGAUCCAGCCAUGCCGCGUGAGUGAAGAAGGCCUUCGGGUUGUAAAGCUCUUUCGGACGGGACGAAAUGGUUAUGGUGAAUAUCCAUGACUGAUGACGGUACCGUAAUAAGAAGCACCGGCUAACUACGUGCCAGCAGCCGCGGUAAUACGUAGGGUGCGAGCGUUAAUCGGAAUUACUGGGCGUAAAGCGUGCGCAGGCGGUUCGCCAAGUCAGGUGUGAAAUCCCCGGGCUUAACCUGGGAAUUGCGCUUGAAACUAGCGAGCUUGAGUGUGGCAGAGGGGGGUGGAAUUCCACGUGUAGCAGUGAAAUGCGUAGAGAUGUGGAGGAACACCGAUGGCGAAGGCAGCCCCCUGGGUCAACACUGACGCUCAUGCACGAAAGCGUGGGGAGCAAACAGGAUUAGAUACCCUAGUAGUCC
rnacentral:rRNA from 1 species